CUCUUUAACCCUUUGCGGUCCAAUUUUAUUUUUGGAAUUCAAACAGUCUGGUCCAAAUUAAUUGACUGGAUUGAAUGUUGAACUGGUUUGCAGUUUUUC